AAGUGAUGAAGCCUUGAGGUUGGUCAGGCAACGGCAGGGUGGAGCUUAUAUUUUAUGGUUUCAUAAAAUCCAAAACCUGGAUAGGCUUUCUGCUGAAAAGAAAAUUAUGAUUA
rnacentral:ncRNA from 1 species